GACGGAGGGUGCUAGCGUUGUUCGGAAUCGCUGGGCGUAAAGGGCGCGUAGGCGGCCUCAGGUGUCGGAUGUGAAAGCCCGGGGCUCAACCCCGGAGGUGCAUCCGAAACUCUGGGGCUGGAGGUCGGAAGAGGAGGGUGGAAUACCCAGUGUAGAGGUGAAAUUCGUAGAUAUUGGGUGGAACACCGGUGGCGAAAGCGGCUCUCUGGUCCGGACCUGACGCUGAGGCGCGAAAGCGUGGGGAGCAAACAGG
rnacentral:rRNA from 1 species